UACGGAGGGUGCAAGCGUUAUCCGGAUUCACUGGGCGUAAAGGGUGCGCAGGCGGCCAAGUGUGUGAGGCGUGAAAGCCCGAAGCUUAACUUCGGAAUUGCACCUCAAACUACAUGGCUAGAGCAUUGGAGAGGGUAGCGGAAUUCACGGUGUAGCAGUGAAAUGCGUAGAUAUCGUGAGGAACACCAGAGGCGAAGGCGGCUACCUGGACAAUUGCUGACGCUCAGGCACGAAAGCGUGGGGAGCAAAAGGG
rnacentral:rRNA from 1 species